rnacentral:rRNA from 1 species
GGGCUUUUUGAGAGUCUGACCUGCCCGGUGAUUAUUUUAACGGCCGCGGUAUAUUGACCGUGCAAAGGUAGCAUAAUCAUUAGUCUUUUAAAAGGAGGCUGGAAUGAAAGGUUUGACGAGAUACUAUCUGUCUCAGCUGCAAUUAUUAAAAUUUAACUUUUAAGUUAAAAGGCUUAAAUUUUAUUGAUAGACGAGAAGACCCUAUAGAGCUUUAUAAUUAUUUUUUUAUGAUUUUUAUAAAAAGAUUUUAUAAUUUUAAUUAUUUUGUUGGGGUGACAAAAAAACAAGUUUAACUUUUUUAUUUAUUAAUCAUUUAUUUAUGUUAAAAAGAUCCAGUAUUAUUGAUUUUUAGAUUAAGUUACCUUAGGGAUAACAGCGUAAUCUUCUUUUGGAGUUCUAAUUUACAAGAAGGAUUGCGACCUCGAUGUUGGAUUAAGAUUAUAUUUGGGUGCAGUAGCUCAUAAAUAUAGGUCUGUUCGACCUUUAAAUUCUUACAUGAUCUGAGUCAAAACCGGGAGAAGGUUAUUUAGGUAGAUAUUAUUACUUUUAUU